GAUGAAGAACGUAGCGAAAUGCGAUGAGUAAUGUGAAUUGCAGAAUUCAGUGAAUCAUCGAAUCUUUGAACGCACCUUGCGCCCUUUGGCUAUUCCGAAGGGCAUGCCUGUUUGAGUAUCAUGAACACCUCAACUCUCAUGGUUUGCCAUGAUGAGCUUGGACUUUGGGGGUCUUGCCGGCCUAUGGGUCGGCUCCUCUCAAAUUAAUCAGCUUGCCAGUGUUUGGUGGCAUCACAGGUGUGAUAACUAUCUACGCUUGUGGUUUUCCAUCAGGUAACCUUCAGUGAUGGAGGUUCGCUGGGGCUCAUAAAUGUCUCUCCUCAGUGAGGACAGCUUUUUUGAACGUUUGAUCUCAAAUCAGGUAGGACUACCCGCUGAACUUAAGCAUAUCAAUAAGCGGAGGA
rnacentral:misc_RNA from 1 species